UCAAAUCAUUGUGCGUUUUUAACAUUGAAAGAAAUUAUUAAUAUAAGAAAGAGAAGAAAAAAAACACUGAACAGAAGAGAAAAGACAAGACUAACUAAUAAAAAACAUUAUAAAAAUGAAUCUAGUCUUUUAGCUAGUGCACUGACGAAUUUGAAGAUGAAUUAAAAUAAAGAUUCGAUCGCACAGUCUAGCUAGAUGGAGCAUUGAUUCUGAUUAGUCAAGUGUAUUGAUGGAGUCACAUAGACACAACUUGCAUUGAAUUGAAUCUCUCAUCUCCCUGUCCAAUGUAUAUUACACAUACACUUUGAAUACUUGCUAAUCAACUAGAGUUUGAAUAGGUAUCAAAUAAAACUUUGACUGCAUCGACCUUUGUCACUUUUUCAUUAUAGCAACGGUAAACACAAUGAUUGGGUAUCUUGUCUGACCGGUGAAAUUUUGAAUUCAAACUAAUCAAUCUAGUGGCUUUUCUUAUCGGUUCCAUAUAUUGGUUCGCAGAAGCGGUUUAGCAAAAUGAUUGGGUUUUCGUUUUGACUUUUGAGGGUUUAUUGAAUUGUCUAAGAAGAAAAAUUCCUAAACAUACUAAAUUUUUAAAACUACAGUAAAACUUUUAUAAAUUAAUAAAAUUUUAUAGUGAAAUUCCUAAAAUUCUAAUAUUAUUAAUUUAAAAUAAUAUUAAUUUAUCAAUAGAGAGAUUUUCUUAAUUUAAUAAAAAAUUUAAUAACGAUUUCUUUCAUUAUAAAAAAUAAAUGUUAAAUAUACAUGAAAAUGUGAAAUACAUAUGAAUUUGUGAAAUCGCUAAUGACCACAAUUAAAUGGCGGGAUCCAAAAUCCGGUUGGAUUUCACAAUUUCAUAUUAAUUUAGUAUUUAUAAAAAAAAAAAAAAAAAAAAAAGAAAGAGUUGAAAACCUAUUAAGAAAAUAAAAUAAAAAAUAAAUGCUAAAUAUACAUGAAGAAGUGAAAAACAUGUUGGAUUUGUGGAAUCGCUAAUGACCACGGUUAAAUGGCGGGAUCCAAAAUCCGGUUAGAUUUCACAACGUCAUAUUAAUUUAGUAUUUAUAAAAUUUAAAAAAAAAAAAAAAAGAGUUGAAAACCUUUUAAGAAAAAAGAAAUGCUAAAUAUACAUGAAAAAGUGAAAAACAUGUUGGAUUUAUGGAAUCGCUAAUAAGCACGAUUAAAUGGCGGGACCCAAAAUCCGGUUAGAUUUCACAACGUCAUAUUAAUUUAGUAUUUAUAAAACCUUAAAAAAAAGAGUUGAAAAUCUUUUCAAAAUAAUAAUAAUAAUAAAUGCUAAAUAUAAGAAAAACAAGUGUUAAAAAGUUAAAUAAAAUGUAAACCAUAUUGAACCUAGAACAACUCUUAGGGGAUUGGAUGAUGUAUCCAAUUAGUUUACACAAAAUUUAAAAAUUUAACACUUAUCUAUAUAAAAAAAAUCUAAAGUUAUAAUAAAAUAUAGGUGUAAAAACAUUUUACACUUAAACUAAUGAAAAUAUAUAAACAUUUUAGUUAUAUAAAUGUUAUGGUGAAACUAAUUAGUUUUAGUUUUACUUAAAAAUAAUUUUGAAGGAAAAUAAAACAAAAAAAAAAAGAAUGAAAAAAGUAAUACCUUGUUGGAUUUAGUAGCAAAAAGGGCCCAUAGAGCAAAGCCCAUUCCAAAGUCAGAUUUGAGCCCGUCGGUCUUUGGGAGCCCUCUCGUGACAUCAUCCACCACCAUAAAGCUCUCCGCUCUCUUGGCUAUAUCCUCCUCUUUGUAGUCUCCGGUGAAAGCGUCUCUCGUUGGUCAGAUCAUUAUCUGGCGACAUCGAUCUUGAUGACAUAGAUUUGAUGGUUCAAUCACGAAACGAUGAUGAUAUGAUAUCGCUCCGAUCAAUUACGGACGUUUCAGAGAUCAUCACCAUCGGCUUUUACUUGAAUAUCUCUACUUGGAUCAUCAUCGGAAUUCACAGAGAGAUAAAGACAAAAUUGUCUUGAGAAGAGAAUUAGGGUUUUAGAAUAAGAAGAAGCGAGAAAUAGAGAGUUUUGAUUUGUCGAAUUCUUUAGAAGAAGCGUUGAGACUCUCAGUGAGAGAGUAAUUAUUUAUUUAUAAGCGAAGAAAAGGAAACUGAUAAUCACAAUUAACGGUCACAAAAUCUUCUUUUAACGGUCACAAAAAAGAUUUCUUUUGAUAGCUUCUGUUUCCUUUUUUUUGUUUCUCUGACUGUGAGAGAAUUAAUGUGAUGAGUUUUAAUACAUAGACUAUAGCAAUGGUA
rnacentral:lncRNA from 1 species